CUGGCGGCGUACUUAACACAUGCAAGUCGUACGAGAAAAGAGACUUCGGUCUCCGAGUAAAGUGGCGACGGGUGCGUAACACGUAAGUAAUCUACCUCAGGCUUCAGAAUAACUUUUCGAAAGGAGAGCUAAAACUGGAUAAGCUCCUGUUGUACAGGCAGUGGGUGGAAAACUAGCCUCUGACCUAUGCUAGUGGCUUGAGAUGAGCUUGCGGCCCAUUAGCUAGUUGGUAGAGUAACAGCCUACCAAGGCAACGAUGGGUAGCUGGUCUGAGAGGAUGGCCAGCCACACUGGCACUGAGAUACGGGCCAGACUCCUACGGGAGGCAGCAGUGGGGAAUUUUGCGCAAUGGGCGAAAGCCUGACGCAGUAACGCCGUGUGGAGGACGAAGGCCUUCGGGUUGUAAACUCCUGUCAGAGGGAACGAAGGUGGUCAGGAUGAAUAGUCUUACUGCCUGACGGUACCCUCAAAGGAAGCCCCGGCUAAUUCCGUGCCAGCAGCCGCGGUAA
rnacentral:rRNA from 1 species